GAUGAACGCUAGCGAUAGGCCUAACACAUGCAAGUCGAGGGGCAUCACAUGAAGUAGCAAUACGGAUGGUGGCGACCGGCGCACGGGUGAGUAACACGUAUGCAACCUGCCUUCAACAAGGGGAUAACCCGUUGAAAGACGGACUAAUACCCUAUAACACAGGGGUCCCGCAUGGGAAUAUUUGUUAAAGGACAACCGGUUGAAGAUGGGCAUGCGUUCCAUUAGCUAGUUGGCGGGGUAACGGCCCACCAAGGCAACGAUGGAUAGGGGAACUGAGAGGUUUAUCCCCCACACUGGUACUGAGACACGGACCAGACUCCUACGGGAGGCAGCAGUGAGGAAUAUUGGUCAAUGGACGCAAGUCUGAACCAGCCACGUCGCGUGAAGGAAGACGGCCCUACGGGUUGUAAACUUCUUUUAUACGGGAAUAAAGUGCCCCACGGUGGGGUUUUGCAUGUACCGUAUGAAUAAGGAUCGGCUAACUCCGUGCCAGCAGCCGCGGUAAGUACUGACUCA
rnacentral:rRNA from 1 species